GACGAACGCUGGCGGCGUGCUUAACACAUGCAAGUCGAACGGAAAGGCCCUGCUUUUGUGGGGUGCUCGAGUGGCGAACGGGUGAGUAACACGUGAGUAACCUGCCCUUGACUUUGGGAUAACUUCAGGAAACUGGGGCUAAUACCGGAUAGGAGCUCCUGCUGCAUGGUGGGGGUUGGAAAGUUUCGGCGGUUGGGGAUGGACUCGCGGCUUAUCAGCUUGUUGGUGGGGUAGUGGCUUACCAAGGCUUUGACGGGUAGCCGGCCUGAGAGGGUGACCGGGGAGAGUGGGAGUGAGUGACGGCCGGGGCGCGUACGUGAUGCAGCAGGGGGGAUUGGGGGAUGAUGGGCGGGGGGUUGAGGCAGGAGCGCGGCGGGGGGGAGGAGGGCGUUCGGGUUGUGAGCAGCGUUCGCCGGUGAAACAGCGUGAGUGCGGGUAAUGGAUAAAGAAGCACCGGCUCACUACGUG
rnacentral:rRNA from 1 species